UCUAUCGUCACACGUCAAUUACCAGUUCCCUAAUUACGAAAAGUUUCAUAUGACAUUAACCUCAAAAAUGAUCUUUGAAAACAAACAACAACAAACAGAGCAACAAAUGAACAAAUAACUACAUAAUGACUGAUAAUGAUAAGUGAUUAUUAUUAUCACUUUAAUGAUAUGAAGGCUGAUGAAGUUUUAGACAACCAAUACAAGAUUUUAGAACUUGACAUCGUGAUAAACAAAUUGUACAUUCAGGAACUCGUUUAAAUAUUAUAGGUUGAUUGACGAAUACUCUACAGUUGAUUAGAGCCCAUGAUGAU